UCGUACGAUAGGACAUCAUUAAUCCUUAGCUCUGUAGCUACUGCUUCAUGGAUUCCUGUGCGUUGAAAAUAUAAGAACUAUAUUCAGACCUUAAAAACUUCAAAUUCUCUGCAAUAAAGAUAACCUUCUGCAAAUGUCAUGUGAAUAUGAAAUUUGAAACCAAAUGUCUAUUCCUUCCGCAACACUUCCUUCUGCAACAUUUCCCUCCGCAACACUUCCUUCUGCAACACUUCCUUCCGCAACACUUCCUUCCGCAACACUUCCUUCCGCAACACUUCCUUCCGCAACACUUCCUUCCGUAACACUUCUAAUAGCUAGAAUAUUUAGUUCUCACCAAUCCAUUCCAAUUCGACAACAUCAUCCUUGUUAGUAGCCAGAGAUAAGGCGACCGCUGGAGUUCCCGUACGUUCCAUCCAUUCAUCCAGCUAGUGAGGAAAAUUAAAAUGCUUAUUAACGGUAAUAAUAUUCACAAUAUUUGAUUGAACGGUUGAUAAUAAUGAUAAAAAUAAUUAUAAUAACAGUAAUGAUAAUUAUAAUAAUAAUAAUGGAUACAUUUCAUUUUCAAUUGAGCUUAAACUACAAAUACAAAUCUCACUAUUACAAGGUAAUUUGCAAUUGGCUAGCCUGGCUUUACAAGGAAAACUAUAACAAUCGUAAGGUAAAAAGAAAAAAUGAAAAAAACAACCAAAAUAAAAAGGAUGUAAUUCUGGAUUAUAGUAAAUAUAAUAAAAAAUAGUAAUAAUAAUAAUAAUAAUAAUAAUAAUACAUGACCAUUAUUAUUCUUUACAAAAAGAGGAAAAAGUGAGUGCGAACUGGGGAAGGCCUAAAAGGGUAUUUGAGGGCAUUUUCUACAUACAUUUUUAUCAAGAUUAAAAUUUUAACUACCACGUCAAAGAUAUUACAUCUAUUAUUAUCGCAUGCAUUGCGAAAAGAAAACACGUCGUCUGUUUUUACCAUAUACGACACUUAGUCGUUACAAUGCAUUCAGCCAGCAAUAAACAUACACACACAAACACAUGCACGGAUGGGGGAGCGCUGUAAACCACCCAUCUUAUUAAAAAAAGAUCCAUUUAGUCGUCUUAUUGGAAAAAUAUAGAAAGUUGUAGCUCUCGGAACUUUUCCAUUACUUUCGGGCAUUUUUUUUCUAUCCAUAAUUGCUACACGUAUUUGGUAAAUUAUUUGCUAUAAGCACAGAACUGCACAUGAUAUUCUUGCUUCUUAUUGUUCGUUAAAUUUGGAGAUUUUUGUGGCGUUGCUCGGAGCCAGGUUUGUAGAUUUAAAAUAAAGCGCGUUAGUUUUGUAUACAGAUGCAUCGCAAGAUGUAAACACGAUGGUUGAUACCGAGUAACCAGAUAGCAGGGCAAAUUGGUUUUGUUAUUCUUCAACGUUCAUCUUUAUAUAUUUCACUAAAUCUUAAGAAUUGGCAACUAGGGAGUUUAUAGUCCCAACAACUGGUCCAUCUAGUGAAGAUUUUGAAGUAAACACAUGCAAUCGAUGAACUGCCGAAGUUGUAGAGAACCCGAGGAGGCCACAAAGUUUUCAUCGAAGCUGAUGGCGAGAGUUGAAGACAGCAAAGACGAUAUGACAGUUUAAAAACCGCCAUAAGGUGGAAGAAUGAAUCGAAAGAACAGUUAAAAACAAAUUUGGCAAUUAUUACCAUCAAAGACUAUUUAUAAACUUCUUAAGAAGAGCCAACUCCAAGAUUUAAGAAGAAUUGAUUCUCCGAUUUUUAUAGACAGUUGUUAUUCAAGUAGCUCAUCGCCAUUCCGUAUAGUAAGAGCCAAACUGCCAAAAAGUUUUCGGAAAGGCCACAAGGCUGGCAAGAAUUUUGGGAUAGGUUUGUCAGUGCAGUACAUGGAAAUGAAGAACGUUACGGUGUCAAUAAAUUGCUUAUUAGAGGUCUGAUCUUGAAGAUUCAGCUAAAGAAAUCAUUUCAGGAUUCGAGCUAACAUAAAAACAGUAUCAAGCUGCAUAAGAUUUAUUGAAGCAAACCUUUACCUUCGAUUGAUUAAUAUUGAGGACCCACAAUGGUGUAUCUUCUACGUUUUGAAAGAAGUAGCUACCUACGUACACACGCUGCUGUCCAUGCUUUCGUUUUGCGAUGACUGCUGGCAGUUCCCGUACUUCACUGGCAUCAGUAUUAAUGGCAUGCGAGAACAAAUGGACGAUCAGAUUCGUUGACGUCUUGGUACAACAAAUCAGAGAGCGUUUCAAGCAAUAAUAAUUAUGCAGACGUGAUUCUCGGUUGUUCGAACAAUGAAACAAGAACGAACUUGACUCUUGAGAACGGACUUAAGUUAUAUAGAUCAGAUGUUGUCCGUAAAAUGUAUUUUGUUAAUUUAUUGUUGGAGUAUGACUUCUUUCUGAUGCUCGAAAUUUUGACCGUUUUCUAUCGCUCAAUUUCUCGCUUUCUUUGUUGCUGCAGUGUUUUAAAGAUUCCUUAUGACGAAGAUAUGAAAAGAACUAUGCAAUAAUUCUAAAAUCUUUGAAGUUAAGAUCACGAAUGGUUAAUGAUUUUCAUGAAUGAAUAUAAUUUUGGGAAUUUUGAUGUCUAAAAUGUUUUCACAUGAUAUGUAAACGAGCACCAUGGAUCAAUGACGGCUAACAGAAAUUUAUUGUUAGAUUAAACACAAUAUAAGACCCUUAAAAAAUAUAGAAGAUCCCCAUAAGCCAGAAAUGGCUGAAAGUGUAUGGUUAAAUAACUUACGAUUUGAUUCUGAAUAUGUAAGA